GCUGGGCAUGGUGGCGCGUGCCUGUAGUCCCAGCCACUCGGGAGGCUGAGGCAGAAGAAUCACUUGACCCCAGGAGGAGGAGGCUGCAGUGAGCUGAGAUUACGACACUGCACUCCAGCCUGGGCGACAGAGUGAGACUCUGUCUCAA
rnacentral:SRP_RNA from 1 species